rnacentral:lncRNA from 1 species
UGACUGUGGGAAACAUGAGGAGUUCCAACAGAAAGGAUCUACCCAGAAGGGGGCCACUGAGGAGCUACAGGAAUAACCAGAGUCAGAAGUAGAAAGAAGUUUGCAGAGGUUCUGUUCUUGUCUCUCACUCCUGGUAACUCAGUGCACUGAGAGGACCCGGACAUGAAGGUAUGGAGGUGGAUCUUCUGGCUCCCUGUGCUGGGGUUGCCCAGUCACACAGCACAGAAUCUACCUCAGAACUUUCCUGACCAUUUUCAGCUCAGUACUGAUUUUGGGGGGAUUUUUCAGAAGCUUAUCAUUAUUGCUACAGUCGUAGCUAUUUCGGCAUUUGCCAUUUUCUUCUGGACAACAAUUCUUGUUAUAAAACAGCCAGUUUAUCAAGGUAAGAUUUUAGCCUCUGUUUUCUUUAUAAUACUUUUCUCAGUGCUGGUAUUAGAUGAGAUCUUUUAUUAAACUAGCUCUAAGUACAGUAAUUUUUAUAACUUCCUGGCUUAUUACUUCUUGAAGGUUUUAGUAUUCCUGGAGUGGUUUCUAAAUGACAAUGGAGAGGGACUCGUGAUCUGUUAUAAAAAUGCAGGAAGAAGAAGCAUUAGUGGGCAUAGGAGACUGAAAUGAGUUUAGCUUUGCCUAAAAAUGUUUAAGAAGCAAGUGAUGCUGGCCAGCACCACGGCUCACUAGGCUAAUCCUCGCCUUGUGGCACUGGCACACCGGGUUCUAGUCCCAGUUGGGGCACCGGAUUCUGUCCCGGUUGCCCCUCUUCCAGGCCAGCUCUCUGCUGUGGCCAGGGAGUGCAGUGGAGGAUGGCCCAAGUGCUUGGGCCCUGCACCCCAUGGGAGACUAGGAGGAAGCACCUGGCUCCUGCCAUCGGAUCAGCACGGUGCACCGGCCACAGUAGCCAUUGGAGGGUGAACCAACAGCAAAGGAAGAGUUUUCUCUCUGUCUCUCUCACUGUCCGCGUCUGCCUGUCAAAAAAAAAAAAA